GGAAUUUAUUUGUUUUCUGGAAACGUUAAUAUUCCGACUCCAUUUAUGCAACGGGGGGGGUUGUUGCAUAAAUUAGCUGUUGCAACCUGUUGCUGUGUAAAAGAAAGAAAGAAAAAAAAAAGAAAACGACUAAAGGAUGAUACGGUACACCGCGUUGCCGAAUAGCUGAUUUCCCUUGAACAGUUCCACACUUUUUGACAAACUUUAAUGUAUUUUUAUUGGGGGAUUUUAUCUGAUAAACACGCAGGGGUUCGUAGGCAUGAAGUGGAAAGAAAUCAACAAAGCCCAGACUCACAUCCUCUUCAACCUCUAACACAGGUUUACUUCCAAAACCCUCUUCCCCUGCUAAAGAGAAAGCAUUUCGAUUCUGCCACCUCCUUGGAGAAAUAGUGUGCUCAAGAUACUCGUCUCCUAUUGAUCACCUUCCACACUGCUAGUGUCCAACUGCUGUAGAAGUAGAACAAUUAUAAUUCAGAAAGACAAGCCUUUAGGGCAGGAAUAGUUUUUACUAAACGCUAAUUUAAAGGGGCGGUAUUACGUAAAAUUGAUUUUUAUGUAACAGGUACUGCUAAACGCCUGAGCGGACCUAGCUCCGCCUUCGAGACGCCUUCAGAAAUGUCAAGCAGCCACCUCGCUCCAAGAGAAUCGUGUUCUGGUCAUACAGAGAUGUCUUCUUCAGUCGAGACAUAAAUGUGAAACUCAAUAAAUAAAUACACUUGAAAAUAAAAUAAAAAUAUUAAUAUGCAUAUAUUUUUAGCAGCUGAAAUAUUUACUGGUGUGGUCAUUUUCUGGGUGUAGACGGGACGUCUGAUGGUUUUCUUUCAGUAAUAUUGAUAUUCCUCCAAACAGACCAGAUUUGUAGAGAACACAACUAAGAGAUGCCAACAGGUUUUCCAACCCGAACUCUGGAUCUCUGCAGUUACUCUAGAACUAUCAUGAGUUGUGUAACAACGUCUCUAGUUAAUGGCCUCUUUACAAAGCCUUUUUCUGUCACACUGGCAAAAAAAAAUGCUUCUUUACUAAAAUUAAUUAAAAAAAAUACUAGUGAUUUUGUUUUAUAUAUACAUAUUUUGUCAUCAAAUUUGACACGGUGCUGUUUUAUUUAAUUCAUUGUUUUUUGUAAAAUGUCAACAUCCAACAUAAGGAAACAUAUCCGUUCUCUUUAACGCAAAAGUUUUAUGUUUUUUUUUAUUUUUAUUUUAAAACCUAAAAACAUUCUUUAAAAAUUAACAUUACUUUCCCUAAGUAUAUCAAAAAAUAAUAAAUCAUCUUUUUUAAGGGUCAUGUAACAUUUGCAGCUUUAAACAAGCCCUAUUUGACCGAACUGAGGCCAAAUGUGGCUCUUAGGACUGUAAAUGUUGCAGACCUCUGGUUUAGAUGGGCAGUCUUGUUUUGUUUGGAUUUGUUCCAUACUCUUUCUAUUUUCAGAUGGUUCCCUUUCUACAACUGUAUGUAAAUAUACUGACAUUGAACGAACCCAUCUGAACGGCACACUUUUACGUUAAUUAUGUUCUACUUUGUCCUGUUUAACACAUAAAAUCCCAAUAAAAUACAUAAAAGUGUUUGGCGACCAAAACGCAGGAAAGUUCAAGGGGAUGAAUACUUUCACAACAAACUGCCAGUAAAAAAAUAAUAAUAAUAAUUUAUGAUAAAGCGUGGGAUGUAGGUUUAUGUAUGCCACUAUGGUGCAGGAGUUCAACAACUGACAAUGAACAAACUAUCAUUUUUUUUAGAAGCACAGAAAUUUUCAUGUAAAAAGCUGCCAACCAAACGUUUCAAAUUACAGCAAAAAUGGAAUCACGUGUCAGACGUAUUAUUACGCCAUACGAGACAAAAGUCUCUUAAGGCAUAUUGUGGAAUCAAGAAGAAAAAUAAAUAAAUCAAUUUUUGCUCAUAUUUCAUGUUCCAAAGCGGAGCUAAAUCUUUGAGGAGUGGAAGCGUCAACAAACAAGUGAAAGCAAGGCGCAGCGCGGAGAGUGAAGGUGCACGUCACAACGUACGUCUACGAAGUCCAAACCAGCAUCUCGACGAGAGGCAGCAUGAAGAGACAAGGCUGAAGGACACGAGGUCGAUGGCUGUCCUGAUCAGAGCCAUGAGGGUGGAGUUAAAAUGCACUGUGUUGUCGUCGGCAACAGGCAGAUCCAUGCGAAGGAGCCUCUGUGGAGAACCAGUCAGGAUGAGAGGAUGAGAAAGGGAGGUGUCCUCGCUAAGAAAUAAGAGUUGCAGAAGACUGAAGACAGAAACACUUACCGGUCCUUCUGUAACUGCUUUGUUGCAGAUUGCAGAAGGACUGGCAAACCCUCCUGCAUUCCCUUACUUCUGCGGCAUGACUGGAGCAAAUAAAAGAGAGGACUCACUACCACUCCACUAUCACUUCACUUGACUGCACAACAAAAGCCCAUCCCUCCAUCCCCGCGGUCGGAGAGAGAGAAGAGAGGACAGCGCUCACCACCACCACCACAACCACCACCAACAAACAAUGAAGAGAACACCACUGGGAGGAGGAUUGCAGAGAGAAAAGCACCAACGGGAGCUGCUAAUUAAAGAAGUUUGACUGCUGGAGCUUCAGCAAGCAUGAGCAAAUGAGAAACAGCAGAUUCA